UAAUAUUGCAGUGGAGUAAAUCAUUCAGGCGGUAUAUAAUUUUAAGGGGUAUAACCAGAUUCUUUUUUUUUCUUGCAGACCUAGUUCGAAGUAAACAUUCAGGGAGUAUGAUUUAUAUGGAGUAUAAUUUGAAUGGAGUAUAAUUUACAUGGAGUAUAAUUUGAAUGGAGUAUAACCAGCUUUUUUUAUUGCAGACCUAGUAAACAUUCAGGUAGUAUAAUUUAGGGAGUACAAUGUACAGACCUAGUAAACAUUCAGGUGCUAUGUAAACAUUCAGGUAGUAUAAUUUAGGGAAUAUAAUUUAUAUGGAGUAUAUCUUACAAGGAGUAUAACUCAGGUAGUAUAUGUUUCAGGUAGUAUAAUUUAGGGAAUAUAAUUUAUAUGGAGUAUAUCUUACAAGGAGUAUAACUCAGGUAGUAUAUGUUUCAGGUAGUAUAAUUUGAAUGGAGUAUAUCUUACAGGGAGUACAAUUCAGGUAGUAUAUGUUUCAAGGAGUAUAAUUAGAAUGGAGUAUAUCUUAAGGGAGUAUAAUUGUUAAAUGAAAGUCGAAUGGAGCAUACUUGCAGAGGGUAUAAUUCGAAUGAGUGAAACUUGCAGUGAGUAUUGGAUGAACUAUUAAUUUCUUACCUUCAUUCCAAUGAUGUCUGAAAUUUUAUUUGAUUUAAAAUGGGACAACACAAAUUGUGAGAUGGUUGAUACACGUGGUUGUCUGCCGACUGAACUAGGAGUCCCAUUCUUGUAACUCUGAAAUGUCUCUUCAGCUGGUCGCAAAUAAAUGCUAGGCUGUUCCCUCAGCUUGCAUUUAAAAAAAAAAUUAAUUAGUAAAACAAAAAAGCUAGACAAGUCAUGCAUGCCAUUUUCUGUUGUGGAGUCAUUACCUGCAGCUUCCCAUACUGGGGGAAAGGGGACCCAGGGAUUAUCUUGCCUUUUAUGUCCCUCGCGAUCAUCCGGCUUACAAGGGGAUCAUCAAAAGCCGCAAUGCGAGGGCUAGUGUUGUAGUCAAUGGUCUCCUUCACCAUCUGAAGACCAUAGAAUUAGUGUGAUGUCCAAUUUAAACUAUUAAACAAAUAUGGAAAGUACAAAUAGCACACCUGCAGGAAUAAUAUGCACCCAUUAAUUGAUACUUGGAAGAUCUACGAGAUCGCUUGGGCAUCUGCUUCGAAGAUUUCAUGAGGUCAUCAAUGACAAACUGAGCCCAGUUAUACCGGCA
rnacentral:lncRNA from 1 species